rnacentral:rRNA from 1 species
UACGGGGGGAGCAAGCGUUGUUCGGAUUUACUGGGCGUAAAGGGCGCGUAGGCGGUCGAGCACAAGUCAGUUGUGAAAUCUCCGAGCUUAACUCGGAAAGGUCAACUGAUACUGUGCGACUAGAGUGCGGAAGGGGCAACUGGAAUUCUUGGUGUAGCGGUGAAAUGCGUAGAUAUCAAGAGGAACACCUGCGGCGAAGGCGGGUGCUGGGCCGACACUGACGCUGAGGCGCGAAAGCCAGGGGAGCGAACGGG